rnacentral:rRNA from 1 species
UACGUAGGCAGCGAGCGUUGUUCGGAAUUACUGGGCGUAAAGAGUGUGUAGGCGGUGCUCUAAGUUCGGUGUGAAAUCUCCUGGCUUAACUGGGAGGGUGCGCCGGAAACUGGAGUGCUCGAACGUGGGAGAGGAAAGCGGAAUUCCUGGUGUAGCGGUGAAAUGCGUAGAUAUCAGGAGGAACACCGGUGGCGAAGGCGGGUCUCUGGGCCGAAACUGACGCUGAGGAGCGAAAGCGUGGGGAGCAAACAGG